rnacentral:rRNA from 1 species
UACGGGGGGGGCAAGCGUUGUUCGGAAUUACUGGGCGUAAAGGGCUCGUAGGCGGCCAACUAAGUCGGAUGUGAAAUCCCCAGGCUUAACCUGGGAACUGCAUCCGAUACUGGAUGGCUUGAAUUCGGGAGAGGGAUGCAGAAUUCCAGGUGUAGCGGUGAAAUGCGUAGAUAUCAGGAAGAACACCUAUGGCGAAAGCAGCUCUCUGGGACGGUACUGACGCUGAGACGCGAAAGCGUGGGGAGCGAACAGG